rnacentral:rRNA from 1 species
UGGGGAAUUUUGGACAAUGGGGGAAACCCUGAUCCAGCCAUCCCGCGUGUGCGAUGAAGGCCUUCGGGUUGUAAAGCACUUUUGGCAGGAAAGAAACGUCAUGGGUUAAUACCCCGUGAAACUGACGGUACCUGCAGAAUAAGCACCGGCUAACUACGUGCCAGCAGCCGCGGUAAUACGUAGGGUGCAAGCGUUAAUCGGAAUUACUGGGCGUAAAGCGUGCGCAGGCGGUUCGGAAAGAAAGAUGUGAAAUCCCAGAGCUCAACUUUGGAACUGAAUUUUUAACUACCGGGCUAGAGUGUGUCAGAGGGAGGUGGAAUUCCGCGUGUAGCAGUGAAAGGCGUAGAUAUGCGGAGGAACACCGAUGGCGAAGGCAGCCUCCUGGGAUAACACUGACGCUCAUGCACGAAAGCGGGGGGAGCAAACAGG